rnacentral:lncRNA from 1 species
UAAAACAUAUAUAUGUAGAUCAAUGAGAGUUAUAACAAAGACAAGUACUCCAUUGACUGUGAUAACAUACAAAUGGAAAUACUAUUAUUUAGGAAGAAAUAACCAGCUUGAAUAAUCUUACAAACUUCAUAUAACCAUUAAACAUGAAAAAAUUUGAACUUCACACACAUCAGCUUCACUGCAUUAACUACAAGAAGCAAUAAACACUAAGAGUUGCUUUCUCUCGAUUUCCAGCUAGGUCUUUUUUUAUUGCUGCAAUAAGAAUUUUCACACCAAGUCCUUCAUUACACGAAAUAACAUUAUGGUAGCCUAAGGAUGAGGAGGGAAAUAAGGUGGAAGGGGUGGGAAAUAUCCAAUCUUGGGGUGGUGGAAGUACUUUGGUGGAAACUUGGGAUGGUGGAAGUACUUUGGAGGAAGCUUAGGAAGAGGAGUAAUGGGUGGGAAAGGUUUCUUAUAUAUUGGAACCAGUGGUGGAAGUGGCUUUGUGUAUACCGGAACUAGAGGUGGGAAUGGCUUCUUGUAAAUAGGAAUUGGUGGAUGCGUAUAAACUGGUAGAGGUGGGAAUGGUUUCUUGUAAAUAGGAAUCGGUGGAUGUGUAUAAACUGGUAGAGGUGGGAGUGGCUUCUUGUAAAUAGGAAUUGGUGGAUGUGUAUAAACCGGUAGAGGUGGGAGUGGCUUCUUGUAAAUAGGAAUUGGUGGAUGCGUAUAAACCGGUGGUUUUGGCUUUGGUUUGUAAACUGGAAUUGGUGGAUGCGUAUAAACCGGUGGCUUUGGCUUUGGUUUGUAAACUGGAACUGGGGUAGGGUUGUAAACUGGUGGUUUUGGUUCGUAAGUAGGAACUGGUGGUGGAAGCGGCUUUGUAUAUACUGGAACUGGUGGUGGAAGCGGCUUUGUAUAUACUGGAAUUGGUGGUGGAAGUGGCUUUGUAUAUACUGGAACUGGCGGUGGAAGCGGGUUCUCAUAUAUUGGUACCGGUGGUGGGAAAGGCUUUUUGUAAAUUGGAGGGAAAGGAAUUUUGUGUUUUGGUGGAAGAGGGAAUAUAUGACCAAAGUGUUUGAAUGGUGGGAGGUACUUUUUCCAUGGGUGUUGAGGCAAAGGUGGUAGUUUGGGUAGUGGAGGAUACUUGUAGUGAGGCCAUAAGAAGGCUGAAGUGCACAAAGCUGUUGAGAAUUUCAGUUUUCCUGUUGGGCCAAAAGUGUGCUUUUCCUCAGAUUUCGAUUGGAAAAUAAUCUUUGAGGCCUCUAUGCCACUGUGAGCAGGGCAUGGUGCUGCUGAUGCACUGUGCAGCUGUGCAUAGCAUUCCUCCUUCAAUUUUCCAUCUUUUAUGAUUUCCUUAGGAAGAUUAACCUUG